GCCUCCAUAGCUCAGUUAGGUAGAGCACCCGGCUGUUAACCGGGCGGUCGCAUGUUCGAGCCAUGCUGGGGGCG
rnacentral:tRNA from 1 species